rnacentral:rRNA from 1 species
GUUAAGUCAGAUGUGAAAGACCCGGGGCGUUAACCUCGGAAUUGCAUUUGAAACUAGGCAGGCUAGAGUCUUGUAGAGGGGGGUAGGGAAGUUUACAGGUGUAGCGGUGAAAUAGCGUAGAGAUCUGAAGGAAUACCAGUGGCGAAGGCGGCCCCCUCGGACAAAGACUGACGCUCAGAUGCGAAAGCGUGGGGAGCAAACAGGAUUAGAUACCCUGGUAG